rnacentral:lncRNA from 1 species
CUUGAGUAUAGCUGGACUUUGUGGUUAUAUUCACUAAUACGUAAGGUAUAAGAGCAUAUGGAUUGCGUACCUAUUACAUUAUUAUUUAUUCACACUAGACACGAUAUGUUCUAGUUACCAAAGAAUACACCAUAUCAGAAUUAUUUAUGGAAGCAAAUUCUUCAGAAGUUCCACUGAAAGUAACGUUACCUUCUGCUGAUGGUAACAUGAAGAAAGAAAAAUUAACUAUUGAACUCAUUAUUCUCUGCACAUAUACAAAAUCUAAAGAAAGCUCACCUCUUUUCCCAGGAAGCGAAUCAACAUUGUUAUUUUCGUAAUUCAUUUCUAUUCCAUCAACUUUAUCAUGUUCCAGUUGAUUAUCGAAUAUUCCAUUUUCACUUACAAAAUACACCAUAUCAAAAUUAUUGAUAGAAGCAAUUUCUUCAGCAGAAGCUCCACUAAAAUGAACGUUACCUUCUGCGGUGGGAUUACCAAUGUAAUAGAUGAUGUUAUUCUUCGACGCAUCGCCAUCUAGAAAAUACAUCAUAUCAGGUGCGCAUUACUCGACGCCAUGUUGGAACAUGGAACAGAUAGAAUUAGUUACUAGGCAAACAUACCAAAAUUCCCUGCCCCCAGGUGAGCAUAAGGCAAGAGAGGAGCGAAACGGCUCCCAGAGGACCUUAUUCAUCACCGGGGGUAUACCGUAUCCUUUGUAGCUGUGGAUUGGUCUACACUGGAAUUACGAAAAGAAGUUUAAGUACCCGGCUCUAUGAACAUGAGAGGAAAUGUCAUCUGGGGCAUACCUACAAGUUAGAACUAGCAAAAUAUGUACUUUGCAAAGAUACCCACCUUAAAAAAUUCCAGGUGGUUGAUAUAAUUCAGAACUAAUACCCAUGACUAUAUGAGGUGGCAAUAAAAAUUCAAAAACACAAAAUAAUUCCAAACGGGAAGAAGAGAAUUUCACAUUUAGUAAGGGGGCAUACUUGUUGAGAAAAGUACUUAUAUAGCAAGUGAAAUAGUUAAUAACAUCAUACUUGGACGAAUUGUUCUUUCAGAUAAGAAGAAGAGAAAUUAACAUCAAUGAAGUCUAGCUAUCGGCACUGAAUUACAGUCGUAAAAAAUCAAGUCCACCAUCAACCGAACAGAAUAGAAGACUCCAACCUAGAAUUUAGUGUCUGCUGGGACAAAAACCUGAAAACUUCGUCUGAUGCCUCAUUGCCUUCAAUAAUGUCUACCGCAAUUGUAGACAAAACUGACAUAAAAACUUGACGACCACGGCCAACAAUUCAGAAGGUGUUUUCAACAAUUUUUUUUUAACUAAAAAUUUGAUAUCAGGAGUAUUCAUUCGACUGUGAAAUCAGGACGCCGAGAGUAUUGUCGAAGUAAACGAUAUUGUGCACAUUUAAAGUUGGCGGCACUCUCAAAGGCCAAAAAACCAAUACUUAGAAAUGAGCCGGCAGUAAACUAGUCCACGUGGAUUGUAGACUUGACGAUUCGUAUUGGAUAAUUUUUACUAACCGAGUUUUAUAAUUGGCUGAAGAGUCAUAAAAUUAAAUUUGAAGUCAUGUUACGGUGGCCCGUAUCGGGGCCCGCAUCCCCGAUCAAUCUUUAUUGAUUACACUGAAGAACAUAGACGAAACGUAUCAUUCAAGUCUUCUAAUUGACGGUAAUCUCUGAUGUCAUUAACUAUUUCACCUGCUGUGUCAGUAGUUUUUUUAAUAAAACCACCACAAACAAUCUUUGAAUCAACUAUGAUAUCAAGUGGAUUGAUUUUCCAAACAUUACCCUCGUCAUAUGUUUGUUCAUUAUUCUCUGAGAUGUUCAUACAACUCAUACCGAAUUGUUCAACAGGAUAUGCAGUAUUCAAAUCAUCUACAUCAUCUACAUCUAGGAGUUGUAUUUCCACAUCUACAAAAUAUGCCAUAUCAGAUUUGUAAGUUAAAUAAAUUUCUGGAAGAUGAAACAUACCGUU